GCGUCUCCGUUAAUGAUUUUAAGUGCUUGCACUUGAAAGAUUUAACAUUGAGACGAGUGGCGAACUGGUGAGUAACACGUGGGUAACCUGCCCUUGAAGUAGGGGAUAACACUUGGAAACAGGUGCUAAUACCGUAUAACAACCAAAACCACCUGGUUUUGGUUUAAAAGACGGCUUCGGCUGUCACUUUAGGAUGGACCCGCGGCGUAUUAGCUUGUUGGUAAGGUAACGGCCUACCAAGGCGAUGAUACGUAGCCGACCUGAGAGGGUAAUCGGCCACAUUGGGACUGAGACACGGCCCAAACUCCUACGGGAGGCAGCAGUAGGGAAUCUUCCACAAUGGACGAAAGUCUGAUGGAGCAACGCCGCGUGAGUGAUGAAGGGUUUCGGCUCGUAAAACUCUGUUGUUGGAGAAGAACAGGUGUCAGAGCAACUGUUGACACCUUGACGGUAUCCAACCAGAAAGCCACGGCUAACUACGUGCCAGCAGCCGCGGUAAUACGUAGGUGGCAAGCGUUGUCCGGAUUUAUUGGGCGUAAAGCGAGCGCAGGCGGUUUUUUAGGUCUGAUGUGAAAGCCUUCGGCUUAACCGGAGAAGUGCAUCGGAAACCGGGAGGCUUGAGUGCAGAAGAGGACAGUGGAACUCCAUGUGUAGCGGUGAAAUGCGUAGAUAUAUGGAAGAACACCAGUGGCGAAGGCGGCUGUCUGGUCUGUAACUGACGCUGAGGCUCGAAAGCAUGGGUAGCGAACAGGAUUAGAUACCCUGGUAGUCCAUGCCGUAUACGAUGAGUGCUAAGUGUUGGAGGGUUUCC
rnacentral:rRNA from 1 species